rnacentral:rRNA from 1 species
GACGAACGCUGGCGGCGUGCUUAACACAUGCAAGUCGAAGAUAGUGGCGAACGGGUGAGUAAUACGUAGUAACCUGCCGUCCUUGUUGGGAUAAGCCUUGGGAACGGGGUCUAAUACCGAAUAUUAGAGGAUGGGCUCGGGGGCUAGCAGCUUGUUGGGGGGGUGAUGGCCUACCAAGGCGGUGACGGGUAGCCGGCCUGAGAGGGUGACCGGCCACAUUGGGACUGAGAUACGGCCCAGACUCCUACGGGAGGCAGCAGUGGGGAAUAUUGGACAAUGGGCGAAAGCCUGAUCCAGCCAUGCCGCGUGUGUGAAGAAGGUCUUCGGAUUGUAAAGCACUUUAAGUUGGGAGGCGUUACCAACAGAAUAAGCACCGGCUAACUCCGUGCCAGCAGCCGCGGUAAUAC